rnacentral:rRNA from 1 species
AACCGCUUGGCGGGCGUGCUAAACACCUUGCAAGUCGAACGGUAAGGACCCUUCGGGGGUUACACGAGUGGCGAACGGGUGAGUAACACGUGAGCAACCUGCCCUUGACACUGGAAUAACAGUUGGAAACAGCUGCUAAUGCCGGAUAUGACCUUCGGUGGGCAUCACCUGGAGGUGGAAAAGUGCUUAGGCGGUCAAGGAUGGGCUCGCGGGCCUAUCAGCUUGUUGGUGAGGGUAACGGCUCACCAAGACUUCGACGGGUAGCCGGCCUGAGGAGGGCGACCGGGCCACACUGGGACUGAGAUACGGCCCCAGACUCCUACGGGAGGCAGGCAGGUGGGGAAUAUUGCACAAUGGGCGCAAGCCUGAUGCAGCAACGCCCGCGUGCGGGGAUGACGGCCUUCGGGUUGUAAACCGCUUUUCAGUUCCGGACGAAGCGCAAGUGACGGUAGGAACAGAAGAGGGACCGGCCCAACUACGUGCCAGCAGCCGCGCGGUGAUACGUAGGGUUCCGAGCGUUGUCCCGGAAUUAUUGGGGCGUAAAAGGGCUUUGUAGGCGGUUUGUCACGUCGGAAGUGGAAAACUCAGGGGCUUAACCCUGAGCCUGCUUCCGAUAACGGGCAAAACUAGAGGAAUGCAGGGGAGAAUGGAAUUCCUGGUGGAGGCGGUGGAAUGCGCAGAUAUCAGGAGGAACACCGGUGGCGAAGGGCGGUUCUCUGGGCAUUUCCUGACGCUGAGAAGCGAAAAGCGUGGGGGGCAAAACAGGCUUAGAUACCCUGGUAGUCCACGCCGUAAACGGUGGGCACUAGGUGUGGGGAAACAUUCCACGUUCCUCCGUGCCGAAGGCUAACGCAUUAAGUGCCCCGCCUGGGGAGUACGGCCGCAAGGCCUAAAACUCAAAGGAAUUGACGGGGGCCCGCACAAGCGGCGGAGCAUGCCGGAUUAAUUCGAUGCAAACGCGGAAGUAGAACCUUACCUGGGUUUGACAUAUACCGGGAAAGCUGCAGAGAUGUAGCCCCCCGCAAGGUCGGUAUACAGGUGGUGCAUGGCUGGUCGUCAGCUUCGUGUCGUGAGAUGUUGGGUUAAGUCCCCGCAACGAGAGCGCAACCCCUCGUCCUAUGUUUGCCAGCGGAUAAUGCCGGGGACUCAUAGGAGACUGCCGGGGGUCAACUCGGAGGAAGGUGGGGGAUGACGUCCAAGUCAUCAUGCCCCUUAAGUCCAGGGCUUCACGCAUGCUACAAAUGGCUGGUACAAAGGGCUGCAAAACCGCAAGGUCGAGCGGAAUCCCAAAAAGCCAGUCUCAGUUUCGGAUUGGGGGUCUGCAACUCGACCCCAUGAAGUCGGAGUCGCUAGUAAUCGCAGAUCAGCAACGGCUGCGGUGAAUACGUUUCCCGGGCCCUCUGUACACACCCGCCCGUCAAGUCAUGAAAGUCGGGUAACACCCGAAGCCCGGUGGCCCCAACCCUUGGGAGGGAGCCGUUCGAAGGUGGGACUGGCGAUUAGGACU